GACGAACGCUGGCGGCGUGCUUAACACAUGCAAGUCGAACGGUAAGGCUCCAGCUUGCUGGGGUACACGAGUGGCGAACGGGUGAGUAACACGUGGGUGACCUGCCCUGCACUUCGGGAUAAGCCUGGGAAACUGGGUCUAAUACCGGAUAGGACCAUGGUGUGGAUACUGUGGUGGAAAGUUUUUUCGUUGUGGGAUGGGCCCGCGGCCUAUCAGCUUGUUGGUGGGGUAAUGGCCUACCAAGGCGGCGACGGGUAGCCGGCCUGAGAGGGUGGACGGCCACAUUGGGACUGAGACACGGCCCAGACUCCUACGGGAGGCAGCAGUGGGGAAUAUUGCACAAUGGGCGGAAGCCUGAUGCAGCGACGCCGCGUGGGGGAUGACGGCCUUCGGGUUGUAAACUCCUUUCACCAUCGACGAAGGGUUUCUGACGGUAGAUGGAGAAGAAGCACCGGCUAACUACGUG
rnacentral:rRNA from 1 species